AUUUAAUAUUAUUAUUGUUAAUUAUUGGUUAUAAAUUUUUAGUUCUUGUUUAAUCCGUCUAUAAUUCCAAGAACAAGGGAAUGCUGUGCAGAAGAAGAACAAUAUGAAGCUGAAGUCCAUGGCAUGUUCAAAGUUUGAAGGAAAAAUAAUAUCUGAUCAUUUUCAUGGGGAAUUUUCUAUCAAGGCGAAGAAGAAGUUCAUAGAAUCGGUUUCAGAAAAGAAAACAUGGCCCGAAUAAUCAAAGAGUAUCCUGAAUAAUAUUCAGGAGAGAAUUUUAAUCUCUAGGCAAGUCUGUUAUUCUUGGCUUUCAGUUAUCCUCCUUUUACCUCAUUUUUUUCCCUUGCUUCCCUUCAGAACUUGUUUGGUUGCCAAGCUUGGCGGAUAUAUACUGAUUAGAAUAAGGCAUGGAAUGUUGAACCCAUCUUUGGUUGCAAGAUUUCUUUUAUUUCUCUGUAUUGUGUUUUAAUAAUAUUGACAGCCGAACAAAUUAAUUUUCUUGGAGUGCUUGCUUUUGUGCUUCAACAUUGUGAGACACAAAAUUACAAUAUCCUUAUAAAAUACAGGAGUUUAAUA